rnacentral:lncRNA from 1 species
GCCUGCUACCCAUAGAAAUGUUUUCAUUAAGUAUAUUUUCAUUUGAUUAUGAGCCAAAGGAGCAUCCUUUUUUUUUUCUUUGCUUUUCUUUUCCAGAACCAUUUUACCACUGUGUUUGCAGCCUUGUACUGCAGUGCUGCACCAGCACAGGAGGACUGAGAAGCAGACGUGACCAGACACAAAGGUGAUCAAAUACCAUGAAGUAACAGAAAUGACGCGUGAACUAUGUAUAAAGAAGAGCGAUGUCCUGAAGUCUAGAUUCAGUGCGUAUUGUCCAGGAGGAAGCAGACCAAGAUUUUUAGCCCAAGAUCUGCUGCGGGGUAGGUAUGCAUUUUA